AAACCGGCUAAAAUGAUGCCACCGGACAAAUUUUUGAGGCAUUCCUCUGCAGACAAAUCGUUCGUGUUGCCUAUCGUUCGUGAUACAGAAUAAGGCUGUAAUUUUCAUAUAAUUACUUUUACA